CAAAGAAUCAUAACUUCGACAAAAGUAUUGAACUUUGUGACGAUUGAGCGAAGAUGGAGAGACUGAGAGAUUGUAUAAAGGAGCUUAGAGCUUACCGGAGAUUUCUGCUCCGGUCUUCUCUCCGGCGACUCGCUUCUUCACGCCGGUGAUGAGACUGUAGAAGCAUUUGCAGGUGUUCCUGAGUAUCCUCUGUACAAGCGUCUAGCUUUAAGCCUAUUGAAAUCGAUUGCUUCUGGUUGUUUCUGUGGGAGUUUUGAGAAGGUUUCGUUGGGGAAAGAGGUUACCUGGUUGAAGGCGAAAGAGGAGGAGUGGAGCAACAUGAUAACCCAAAAGGGUUCUGAGUUAGUCAACGCCUUGAAGUAUAUAGCUUGUGAGCUUCAAGUUCAAGAGCCCUUAUUCUCCCUCGAAAGAUGGUGUCAAAACAGUUGAGGCGAGGUGUUUUGAAGCGGAGUAUGAUAGGUAAUGAGAAGUGAAAAGUUACUGAGCAUGAUUCCAAACCUUUGUGAAUGUUGUGUGUUCACAAGUGUUGUUUGCAUUCUUCAGAGUUCAACAGAGAGGCUCUCUGGUUAUGAUAAAUAAAUGUCUCCUGUUUGAAGUUAUGGAAAUGCACAAAUAUUCAUCUUUCUACGAGCUGUUAAAAGCUGAGAGUCCAGAGAAAGUCUUCCCUGGAACCAAUACACUUGAAGAAGGUAUGCAAAUGUUCAAGAAGUUGUGUGAUGUUGUUGAUCAAGAGAAGAAGAACAACGGUGUUGUUGCAAUCCAUCUUAGUAAAUCAGUUUCUCAGCCUUGUGUAGCUUUGUCUCACAUACUCUCUGUACGUUCUAGCUUUUUCCAUGUCUCUACUUCUGUUGUUCAUAUGAUUCAUUCUCUUAUGCUUCUUCCAAAAACUACAGGGGUUAGGAAAGCUAGAAAACUAACCUUUACAGAUAUUGAGUGUGAACUUCUUCAUGUUAUUAUCGUGUCACACUAUACUGUAUUUGCAGCACUGUUUGUAUAAAGUUACAAGAAUAUAGUACUGCUAAAAGAGCUAGAAAAAGGCGUUGCAGUUGCACCUAAUGAAUCAAAGUUUAAGAUGAUGGUAGAUGAAUGCAAUUGAAGGUAACUAUUAAAUUUAUAAAAAAAAAUAAUGUUUAUGUACACCAUGUACAUAUACAAACAACCUCACAAAAAAAAAAUUGAUUUCAAUUUUAUAUUUUAUAAAAUGAUCAUUAAACUAUGUCGACUUACUUUUAAUUUUCAUAGUUUUAAUUUUCAUAGAACUAAAACUGUAAAAAAUUAAAAGCAAUAAUAAUGACAGGUAUAUGAAUAGCUAUUAAUUCAUCAGUCUCUGCGACCCGAAGACGUUCAAAAUACCAUAAUCAUAAAUUACUAAAUGAAUUAUACAGUAAUUCAAAAAAUAAUUGACAAUUAUUACACCAUUGAUUCCAAUCAUGGGUAAGGAACUAAGGAUUCAUCGAGUAGAGUUUGAAAGUAUGCUUCACAUUCUUUGUCUCAAUUCAAGGAGUGUCCUAUUUGUUGAUAUUCGAAUAUAUGAUCACUUAUGCAUGUUUUGUGGAAACUAAGUUUCCCAAAUUGAAUCAGUAAAAUAUGCUACAUAUUUUUAUCGGUUUAACUUCUAAGGCAUCCGUUUUGAUGAUAUUGAAAUAUAUUAGAUCCCUUACGUAUCUUAUUUAUUUUGAUUAAUAAUAUCCACUUGGUUUUUCUUUAUUAAAGAUUCAGUGUACGAAAACAAGUUCACUUUUUGAUUAAGAUCAUUGUGAAUUGAUGAGAUGUGGCUAUCCAUUAUCAAUGUACAACUCCUUUCAAAUGUAAGAACAUAAUAUCUCUUUUGUGGUCAAAUGAACAUAAUAUCUUUUUUUUAAACACAAAUGAACAUAAUAUCUAUUAUGAUAAUUUUUCAUAAAGUAACAUAUAUUCAGACAAAAGGUUAUAAAAUAUUAUUCUAUAAAUGGUUAAUUAAUGCAUAAGUUAAUAUUCACUUUCUUUAAAAUGAUUUCAGGACCAAUUAUUUUAUAAAUGGUUAAUUAAUUUAUGCAUAAGUUAAAAUUCACUUUCUUUACAAUGAUUUCAGGAUCAUUGGUGUAGAAAGUGAAAUAAAUUAUAUCUACAUACUUUUGAUAAAUAUUUUAAGCCAGGGAAUUAUUCAAAACUAGAAAAGUAUAUUUAGUUUUUAUUCAAAUCUACAAUAUUUUUUAUUUUAUUUGAAAUUAUUUAUUUUCUUCAAAGAAUUUUUUUCAAUAAUAUAAAUAUAUUUCCUUAUUCUAAUUAUUGAGCAGAGAUAUAAAUAAUUUUAAUAAGGAAAUAUAUUUAUUACAUUGGUUAAGUCUUUACUAAACAAUAUGAACAUAUUUUCUCAAAAUAUGGGAAAAUAAUUGUACGAAAAUUAAGUUUUAUUUUUUCAUAAGCUUAUGUUUCAAAAUAUAUAUUAAACUAUAAUAGUUUUUACUUUUUAAAAUUUGAAAAAAAAAUAUUUAGAAUAUAAUCCGCAAAACCACAAUCAGACUUGAGAUCAAGGUAUUGUUUUACUAUAUCCAUGUUGUAUUUUGGAGAUUUCUUUUAGAUCAUUCACUAUGAUUUUCACUGUUUUUAAUGAUUCAAUGUAUGUUUUUUAUUUUGAAUCAGAAAGAACUAGCUCAAAGAUUUGAGAGAGUAAAGUCUAUUGAUCUGCAUCUUAAAUAGAACCAUGGUAAUUUCAAGCAUUUGAUUGUGCUCCCAUGCAACUUAGUUGUAGUGAUUGAAAGACAACUUUAGACCACUUGGUAUCAUUAAUUUUGUGGAGUAGCAACAUAUUUUUUGCUUUUAUAGUUCUUACCUUUAUUUUAUGACCGGAACCGAUAUCACAUUAUUUUGCAGGUUUCUAGAAAGUUUAUGUUCUAGAAUUUUGUGUAUUUGGAACUAUCUGACACAUGUGGAUGAAUAGUUUUAUUUUCUUUAUCUGUUUUCAUAUGCACUAAUAUUCAAUGAAAAAAAUUUGUGAUGAGUAAUGACCAAAAGUGCAAUUGGAAGAUUAUUUUUAUGUAUUCUAUGAGGUUCCAUAAAAGAAAAGACUAAGAUUUUUGAGAAGAGGCUAAAAUUCUUAGUUUAGAGUCAUUGUUGGUUUGUAUGAUUUAAAUAUCAAGUUCGGGUAGAUUUAAAUAUCAUAGUUGUAUGUUUGUUAGUUUUUACUCUUCCUAUAUAUGAUUUCCAGUAAUAAAAAACAAAAAUUGUGAAUUCAAAUUAUUUUAAAUUUGUUAGACACAAAUCGAUGAAUAAAUACAAAAAAAUUUUAAAAUUUCUACCAAUUUAAUAGUUUAAAAUCGAUUGUAUUAUAUAUUCACGAAAUAUGGUCAUAUAUAAGUGUCAAUUUUUUAAGUUAACUAAAAACUAUACGAAUACCCCGGGCGUAGCCCGGAAAAAUCUCUAGUGUUGAUAAAAGCUCUUUCCUUUUUAUGAGAAGAACCAUUUGCUUAUUCUCAGUAAUUUUAUGCUUGAUGACUAAGAAGCUUAGUGGUGGAAUUACAUAUCAGGAAUUUAAAGGUUUAGCUGACCCCAUGAGGAAAGAAGUUGCUUUGGUCAGGAAGGAGAUUGAUUCUGUCAACAAAUAAUUAAAGCCAUUGGCAACGUAAGCUCUCUCUCCAUCAACGUUGUUUGAAGCUUCUGCCUCCUGAAGAGCUUGAGCAUCUUGAUAUCUUAGAGCGCAAAGAGUCAAGCUCCCCUGUUAAGAAACUUGUGUACCUAACCGGUACAGAUUCAAGCUCUCAUGUUCGUGGGAACGGGACACGUUUUAAUUUGUUUACUGGGAACGGGGAACCAGACUUUUGCUGAGAGAGAGAAUAGUUUUCAGGUGAGUGAGACAGUUUGUGGGUUUUUCAACGUGAAUGGAGGGUUUAGGAUUUCAGAUGAGGAUAAGAUAUGCGAAGUUGCCAAAUUGUAGUCUCCACAUGUGCUUUUGGUGGGGGAGAUAACCUUUACCAACCUAUUGGAAUGUCUAAGGCAUCAACUCAAAAGGUUUGCUACGUUACGUUUUGGGACGAUGUUACACACGCAACGCAGGAAGCAGAGGGUCAUAAGAUUGGCGAGAAUUCUCUUUUAAUAAAGGCCUGGAUAAUAUCAAAAGUUUCAUUAAAGCAAAAGCAACAUUUCAUAAGCCAUUAUAGUAAAUAUCAAAAUCAGUAGAAGCGAAGAUAACAUUUGAUAUAAAUUUUGUUGAUGUGCCAAGCUCUCACAUGCAAUAUGUAGAUGGUAUUAUUCAUCUUCGACAGCCAGAAAAUUGCAUUGUAAUAAACUUAAAGAACCUUAUUUGUUUGAUUUUCUGAACUGGAGAACCUUAUGUGUUACUAAUCACACCCUCUCUACAUAAGUUUAAUAAAUUUACACAAAAAUCGAAAAGCAAAUGAUAGUUUGUUAUACUAAUAACUUGAGCAUUUUAAGAGAAACACACAUCAAACACAAACAACGAGACAUGAAAUAAAAAUUGAAUACAAAAAAAAAA